rnacentral:rRNA from 1 species
CGGGACGGGUGAGUAAUGUCUGGGAAACUGCCUGAUGGAGGGGGGUAACUACUGGAAACGGCAGCUAAUACCGCAUAACGUCGCAAGACCAAAGAGGGGGACCUUCGGGCCUCUUGCCAUCGGAUGUGCCCAGAUGGGAUUAGCUAGUAGGUGGGGUAAAGGCUCACCUAGGCGACGAUCCCUAGCUGGUCUGAGAGGAUGACCAGCCACACUGGAACUGAGACACGGUCCAG